GGCAAAGGCAUGCUGCAAUAGCAUCGUUCCGAGCAGCUGGGGAUUUGCUCGUAUGGCAGCCUCUCUCGCUGAGAAGUAGAAAGCGAUGGUUACUUCAAGAAGCGGUAUCAAAAUCACUCCAUCAAGAACCCCCAAAGGAGAUUUUCUGAAGUUAUGUUCCCUGCACUACUUCCAUAAUUACAGAGGUCCUGUACUAGCAGCUUCAGUAUCUCCUGGGAUCUCGUUAGCAAUGCAAAUAUUUGGACCCCAUCACAGACCUACUGAAUCAGAAACUCUGGGAAUGGGGACAGCAAUCCAUGUUUACUGAGCUCUCCAGGAAAUUCUGAUGCACAAGAUGUGAUGCAGGACAACACUUUGAGAACCACUGUUCUAGAGCAACCCUCAAGCACGCAAAUAAGAAUUUAUGUACAAGAAUGUUCACAGAAGCAUUUUUUGGUAAAAGCAAAAAACUAUAGUAAUCCAAACAGUCAUGGAAGAUAGAAUGAAAAAGAAACUGCAAAUAUGUUUCUAGAAUACUCUGGAGCAGGGAAAGUGAAUGAACAGCAGGGAGGUGCCUCCAUUUGAAUGAAUAUCAGAAAACACAACAUUGAGUAAAAAAUGUAAGUUGGAGAAGAAAGUGUAUAGUGUAAUACAAUUUAUUAGAGUUCAAAAGCAUACAAAAUUAAGCUAUAUAUUGCUUAACAGUAAGUGGACUUAUAUUAGAAAGUCAAGGUGUUGAUAAAACUCAAUAUAGUCUGAAUGAAGGGGGGAAAUUGGAAGGGGAGAUGAACCAUGAGAGACUGUGGACUCUGAAAAACAAA